rnacentral:rRNA from 1 species
GGGCCGCGGGAAUUCGAUUCAGGCCUAACACAUGCAAGUCGAGCGGUAGAGAGAAGCUUGCUUCUCUUGAGAGCGGCGGACGGGUGAGUAAUGCCUAGGAAUCUGCCUGGUAGUGGGGGAUAACGUUCGGAAACGGACGCUAAUACCGCAUACGUCGUACGGGAGAAAGCAGGGGACCUUCGGGCCUUGCGCUAUCAGAUGAGCCUAGGUCGGAUUAGCUAGUUGGUGAGGUAAUGGCUCACCAAGGCUACGAUCCGUAACUGGUCUGAGAGGAUGAUCAGUCACACUGGAACUGAGACACGGUCCAGACUCCUACGGGAGGCAGCAGUGGGGAAUAUUGGACAAUGG